rnacentral:lncRNA from 1 species
CGAGUGAGAAAAGUUGGGCCCGGGGGUUUUGGGAUAAAAUUUAGGUUUUCCUUUAUUAGAUUAAUAGAUUAAAUUCGUGUAUCACCAUUUAAAUCACAGAAAUUUCUAGGAGUGUCCAAAAUUAGUGAAACCAAUUUUGUUAGGACUGUUUUAUUUUCCUUUAUGCAUUAAAAUUCUUAUACCUUAGGAAAAAUAAUAA